GAUGAACGCUGGCGGCGUGCCUAAUACAUGCAAGUCGAGCGGUAACACUUCGUGUGACGAGCGGCGGACGGCUGAGUAACACGUAGGAAUCUACCCCAGACUGAGGGAUAAGCACCGGAAACGGUGUCUAAUACCGCAUACGCUCUAAGGAGUAAAGCUUCGGCGGGUUGGGAAGAGCCUGCGCAUGAUUAGCUUGUUGGUAAGGUAAUGGCUUACCAAGGCGACGAUCAUUAGCUGGUCUGAGAGGAUGAUCAGCCAGAUUGGGACUGAGACACGGCCCAGACUCCUACGGGAGGCAGCAGUAGGGAAUUUUCCACAAUGGGCGAAAGCCUGAUGGAGCAACGCCGCGUGCAGGAUGAAGGCCUUCGGGUUGUAAACUGCUUUUAUAUGUGAAGAUUAUGACGGUAGCAUAUGAAUAAGGAUCGGCUAACUCCGUGCCAGCCGCCGCGGUAA
rnacentral:rRNA from 1 species